UAGUGUUUGCGGGGGGACCACGCAGUGGUUGAGAAGGUAAAACCUGACCCUUUGAACCUGUUGGUUAAUACCAGCGUAGGGAAGCAAAUCAUGUAUGAUA
rnacentral:ncRNA from 2 species